AACGAACGCUGGCGGCAUGCCUAACACAUGCAAGUCGAACGAGAUCUUCGGGUCUAGUGGCGCACGGGUGCGUAACGCGUGGGAAUCUGCCCUUUGGUUCGGAAUAACAGUUGGAAACGACUGCUAAUACCGGAUGAUGACGAAAGUCCAAAGAUUUAUCGCCAGAGGAUGAGCCCGCGUAGGAUUAGCUAGUUGGUGGGGUAAAGGCGCACCAAGGCGACGAUCCUUAGCUGGUCUGAGAGGAUGAUCAGCCACACUGGGACUGAGACACGGCCCAGACUCCUACGAGAGGCAGCAGUGCGGAAUAUUGGACAAUGAGCGAAAGCCUGAUCCAGCAAUGCCGCGUGAGUGAUGAAGGCCUUAGGGUUGUAAAGCUCUUUUACCCGGGAUGAUAAUGACAGUACCGGGAGAAUAAGCUCCGGCUAACUCCGUGCCAGCCGCCGCGGUAA
rnacentral:rRNA from 1 species